CACACUUCGUUUACAUUAUUUAAUAAAGAAGUAUGGCGCUUUUGACUCCGUGGUUCCGUUAAAAGGUUUUAAUCCGGGUUAGUGCUUUUAUUAUUAAUAGGAACGAAAGCGAGCUGAUCCUGGAGUCCCUGCAAUCCUUCUCGAAACUCCUGAACAGUUUGCCAGGGUUCAAAUUCAGUUCCUUUCAAGUUACCGGAGCAGUGAGGAUCAAGUUGCUAUUCAGUCAAGAGGAUCCAGGUCUAAGGAGAUCCUCGAUCCAGUUAUUAGGAGAUCUGGCAACAUCCCUUGGCCAGGAGACCAAUUUUGAGGCAUUCAAGGAUCGAGUGAGAUCCAAGGGAACCUCAUCACUUUACUCUUGCAUCUAUGCAAUCCAGACGUGUAUGUUGUCAAGGCCUCUAAAAGUACAAUCCAGAAGGUUGGCCCUUAUCUGGAUUUUCCGGAGGUAUACCGCAUGAUCCAGGAGUGUUUGGGCGACGACACCGACUUGAUGUUCACGGAUUUUAUUAAGGAGUUAAUUAAACGCAUAG
rnacentral:misc_RNA from 1 species